rnacentral:rRNA from 1 species
GAUGAACGCUGGCGGCGUGCCUAAUACAUGCAAGUCGAGCGAACGGACGAGAAUUUUGCUUCUCUGAUGUUAGCGGCGGACGGGUGAGUAACACGUGGAUAACCUACCUAUAAGACUGGGAUAACUUCGGGAAACCGGAGCUAAUACCGGAUAAUAUUUUGAACCGCAUGGUUCAAAAGUGAAAGACGGUCUUGCUGUCACUUAUAGAUGGAUCCGCGCUGCAUUAGCUAGUUGGUAAGGUAACGGCUUACCAAGGCUACGAUGCAUAGCCGACCUGAGAGGGUGAUCGGCCACACUGGAACUGAGACACGGUCCAGACUCCUACGGGAGGCAGCAGUAGGGAAUCUUCCGCAAUGGGCGAAAGCCUGACGGAGCAACGCCGCGUGAGUGAUGAAGGUCUUCGGAUCGUAAAGCUCUGUUAUUAGGGAAGAACAUAUGUGUAAGUAACUGUGCACAUCUUGACGGUACCUAAUCAGAAAGCCACGGCUAACUCCGUG